rnacentral:snRNA from 1 species
UUACAAAUGGUGCCGGAACCAAGGUGACGACGAAUGCCCUCGCUCCAGGUGGAGGCUCGCUUUUGCACUUCGGCGUGUUGAAACCUGCGACGCUCCCUAAUCGGGCUCGCUCGGACACGUAGUUUAUGCUAGUUGGGAGGUCUUCGGAUCAUCCCUU